rnacentral:tRNA from 1 species
AGAGUAAAUAAUAGAGGUCUAAACCCUCUUAUUUCUA